CUGAAGAACUCCACUUUUCUGGAUUUUUUCACUUGUCUCCAUAUCUGAAAAACACAUCACACAACAAUGACUUAUGCAUCAGCUUGCUUUGGGGAAGAAAGAAAGAAAAGCAGAAAGUUAAGUCUUCUAAAAGCUCCAGGACAACCCCUGCUGCCUCUGAGCACCGGAGAGAUCCACCCAAGCUGACCCUGACCAGCAGCCAGCACAAGCCUCGCAGAGGUGACUCAGGAGGAGGGCUUAACAGGCAAAUGAUGCAUAGGGCUGCCCUGUGGAAACUGUGAAGUUAAAACAAAGAUCUUCAACCACCCUUCACUUGUCUAAGGAGUUAACUGUACGCUCAGUGUUGAAAUACGC